rnacentral:rRNA from 1 species
UGAGGAAUAUUGCGCAAUGGGCGAAAGCCUGACGCAGCAACGCCGCGUGAGUGAUGAAGGCCCUCGGGUCGUAAAGCUCUGUCGGGUGGGACGAGGGGUGCGUGGUAACGACACGUACCUGACGGUACCAUCAAAGGAAGCACCGGCUAACUCCGUGCCAGCAGCCGCGGUAAUACGGAGGGUGCAAGCGUUGUCCGGAGUUACUGGGCGUAAAGGGCGUGUAGGCGGCACGAUGUGUCGGGUGUGAAAUCCUGCGGCUUAACCGCAGAACGGC